rnacentral:rRNA from 1 species
AUUGAACCCCGGCGGCAGGCCUAACACAUCCAAGUCGAGCGGAGCGGCGGACGGGCGAGUAAUGCCCAGGAAUCUGCCUGGUCGUGGGGGAUAACGUCCGGAAACGGGCGCUAAUAUCGCAUACUAUCAGAUGAGCCUAGGUCGGAUGAGCUAGUUGGUGGGGUAAAGGCCUACCAAGGCGACGAGCCGUAACUGGUCUGAUAGGAUGUUCAGUCAAACUGGAACUGAGACACGGUCCAGACUCCUACGGGAGGCAGCAGUGGGAAAUAUUGGCCAACGGGCGAAAGCCUGAUCCAGCCAUGCCGCGUGUUUGAAGAAGGUCUUCGGAUUGUAAAGCCCUUUAAGUUGGGAGGCGUUACCAACAGAAUAAGCACCGGCUAACUUCGUGCCAGCAGCCGCGGUAAUAC